AAACACACGCUGCUGUCUUCUCUUUCUCCGUUCUCCAUUUUCUGAUUUUUCGAGAACCAUCGAGAGACAGAGGGAAACGCUGAACCAGAAGCAUCUUUGCUACAUUCACUUUCUCCUCCCUCCUUCUCCGUCUUCAAGGUCGCUAGUGCAGUCGAUCAAUGGUGGUGAGCGCACGACCAGCUAGGCUGUUGAUGAAGCUACAGAUAUAGGCGUUGAGCUCUUCUCCCUCCCUAUCUGAAUUCCCAG